UCGAUUUUCCACCGGGCCCCUUGAUGGUAACAGUCACUUCCCCCCCCCCCUCCCCCCAAGUGUUAACCCUAGAAGAACAACACGAUCCACCGCGGGACAUCACUCCAACAUUCAUCGCCUGCCACACCCGGGGGCUGCAGGACCCCCUAGUGUCAAUUCGAUUUUAGCCCUUCAUAGGCCCUGGCUUUAAAAGUGCAUUGUCGGGACGACAAUGAAAAAAAACAGGGGGUAGAUGUGAGGGGCUGGCCUGUAAAUCCAAAGCACCGCCCUGUUAGGUAGAGUCAGAGGGAGCUCCCCGCCUUCAUAAGGACAGGUGAGGGCAAUUAGUGCCUCUUUGUCUGAGGCCUGGUUGUGUGGCAGGAUUGCUGUGUCGUGCAGUGGUGGUGACUGUCCUGAGUGAUCCAGAUGGAGCAUGCUCUGUAGCCCUGUGCUGAAGAGGUAUGUCUCAGUGAACUUUGGGGCUUCAUUAAACCGUAGCUAUAUCACUAAUAUGAUAAAAUCUCUUUAGGCAAAGACUCAGCUCCUCCAUCUCCCCUUUUAAGCCAGAGUAGAGCUUUUCAACUGUUGCAUUGCUUCUUAGCAGAGCCCCACAUGUACAAGGUAACUGAAACCAGUAUGGUAAGGUAGGAGGGUCAUGCCCUCUGAGGUAUGUUGUUGUCAGCUGAUGAGACUGACUUUUGUUAUGUUUUCUUUCCCCUUAUUGCAGAUUUAAGGCCAGACUGCUGCUUUGCCUGAGCCAGUUCGCCAAGGCGGUUGGCGAAUGUGUUACAGACUGUACAACUUACAUAAUCUGUAGAUGGUUGAAUAUUGUCUUUUUUAUAUUGGGUGUAGUGACCCUGAAUGUCUGUGAAUCUGAACCAACUGAAUCUCACUGUAUUUUCCGUCUUUUGUUUGAUUAGGCAGUGGGACGACCUGCGGGGAGUAGUCGUGGGAUAUGCACCCCUCCUUGCAUGCAGUGUGGUAUGUUUGAAGGGUAGUGGUCACGUCAUUGGUUUGUAGGUUUGACUUUCCUUGCAGUGCAAGUUGUAGUGUUUGUAGUGAUCAGUGUGCACACAAGGUGAUUUCUAUUGGGUGAUAAAGUCUCGCCGCGGUGAGUACCCUGUUCUGCCUAUUCCUCGCGAUCAUUUAAUCUUAUUGUAUUUUAUGUUAUGGUGAAGCCAUUUGCUAUUUAUAUACUGGUUGUUUCGACCAUUUUAGUAUUGUGGAAUAAACUAAUUUUGACUA